rnacentral:rRNA from 1 species
UUGGUGAAGGAACUAGGCAAAAUGGCACCGUAACUUCGGGAGAAGGUGCGCCGGCUAGGGUGAAGGAUUUACUCCGUAAGCUCUGGCUGGUCGAAGAUACCAGGCCGCUGCGACUGUUUAUUAAAAACACAGCACUCUGCAAACACGAAAGUGGACGUAUAGGGUGUGACGCCUGCCCGGUGCCGGAAGGUUAAUUGAUGGGGUUAGCGCAAGCGAAGCUCUUGAUCGAAGCCCCGGUAAACGGCGGCCGUAACUAUAACGGUCCUAAGGUAGCGAAAUUCCUUGUCGGGUAAGUUCCGACCUGCACGAAUGGCGUAACGAUGGCGGCGCUGUCUCCACCCGAGACUCAGUGAAAUUGAAAUCGCUGUGAAGAUGCAGUGUAUCCGCGGCUAGACGGAAAGACCCCGUGAACCUUUACUGUAGCUUUGCACUGGACUUUGAGCCUGCUUGUGUAGGAUAGGUGGGAGGCUUUGAAGCGUGGACGCCAGUUCGCGUGGAGCCAUCCUUGAAAUACCACCCUGGCAUGCUUGAGGUUCUAACUCUGGUCCGUAAUCCGGAUCGAGGACAGUGUAUGGUGGGCAGUUUGACUGGGGCGGUCUCCUCCUAAAGAGUAACGGAGGAGUACGAAGGUGCGCUCAGACCGGUCGGAAAUCGGUCGCAGAGUAUAAAGGCAAAAGCGCGCUUGACUGCGAGACAGACACGUCGAGCAGGUACGAAAGUAGGUCUUAGUGAUCCGGUGGUUCUGUAUGGAAGGGCCAUCGCUCAACGGAUAAAAGGUACUCCGGGGAUAACAGGCUGAUACCGCCCAAGAGUUCAUAUCGACGGCGGUGUUUGGCACCUCGAUGUCGGCUCAUCACAUCCUGGGGCUGAAGCCGGUCCCAAGGGUAUGGCUGUUCGCCAUUUAAAGUGGUACGCGAGCUGGGUUUAGAACGUCGUGAGACAGUUCGGUCCCUAUCUGCCGUGGACGUUUGAGAUUUGAGAGGGGCUGCUCCUAGUACGAGAGGACCGGAGUGGACGAACCUCUGGUGUUCCGGUUGUCACGCCAGUGGCAUUGCCGGGUAGCUAUGUUCGGAAAAGAUAACCGCUGAAAGCAUCUAAGCGGGAAACUUGCCUCAAGAUGAGAUCUCACUGGGAACUUGAUUCCCCUGAAGGGCCGUCGAAGACUACGACGUUGAUAGGCUGGGUGUGUAAGCGUUGUGAGGCGUUGAGCUAACCAGUACUAAUUGCCCGUGAGGCUUGACC